ACGAACGCUGGCGGCAGGCUUAACACAUGCAAGUCGAGCGCAUCCUUCGGGGUGAGCGGCGGACGGGUGAGUAACGCGUGGGAACGUGCCCUCUUCUACGGAAUAGCCUCGGGAAACUGAGAGUAAUGCCGUAUACGCCCGCAAGGGGAAAGAUUUAUCGGAGGAGGAUCGGCCCGCGUUGGAUUAGGUAGUUGGUGGGGUAACGGCCUACCAAGCCGACGAUCCAUAGCUGGUUUGAGAGGAUGAUCAGCCACACUGGGACUGAGACACGGCCCAGACUCCUACGGGAGGCAGCAGUGGGGAAUCUUGGACAAUGGGGGCAACCCUGAUCCAGCCAUGCCGCGUGAUCGAUGAAGGCCUUAGGGUUGUAAAGAUCUUUCAGCUGGGAAGAUAAUGACGGUACCAGCAGAAGGAGCCCCGGCUAACUCCGUG
rnacentral:rRNA from 1 species